GCGCACCAGGCGCGAAAGCGUGAUGAGGGAAUCCCAAGUGCUUGCACGUAAGUGUAAGCUGUUUUCUGUUUAAAAGCAGAGAGAGUAAGGGCUGGGUAAGACGGGUGCCAGCCGCCGCGGUAAUACCUGCAGCUCAAGUGGUGGCCGCUAUUAUUGGGCCUAAAACGUUCGUAGCCUGUUUAGUAAAUGCCUGGGUAAAUCGUGUAGCUUAACUAUACGAAUUCCGGGUAGACUGCUAAACUUGAGACUGGGAGAGGCUAGAGGUACUCCUGGGGUAGAGGUGAAAUUCUGUAAUCCUAGGGGGACCACCAGUGGCGAAGGCGUCUAGCUAGAACGGGUCUGACGGUGAGGGACGAAGCCCUGGGGCGCAAACCGGAUUAGAUA
rnacentral:rRNA from 1 species